rnacentral:rRNA from 1 species
UACGGAGGGGGCUAGUGUUGUUCGGAAUUACUGGGCGUAAAGCGCGCGUAGGCGGCUUUUCAAGUCGAUUGUGAAAUCCCCGGGCUUAACCUGGGAACUGCAGUCGAGACUGUCUAGCUAGAGUAUGGGAGAGGGAAGUGGAAUUUCAGGUGUAGCGGUGAAAUGCGUAGAUAUCUGAAGGAACAUCAGUGGCGAAAGCGACUUCCUGGACCAAUACUGACGCUCAUGUGCGAAAGCGUGGGGAGCAAACAGG